rnacentral:lncRNA from 1 species
AUGUGUGUGCGCGCACACACACACACACACACACACACACCCAGCUCUCAAGUCCUUGUAGGACCAUGUCCACCCCAUCCACCCCCCAAGCCUCUUCUCCACCCAGGCCUAGUUCCACAGGCCCUCCCCUCCCCCAUUUCCUGGGGUGUCCCCAGAGGCCCCUCCUACCCAAGGAUGGAUCUGAAGGUCGGUUCUGGAAAGGAACCUGGGGAAACAACUUCAGGAGGAGACGGAUGUCCGUAAACAUUUAAAAAAUUAUUUAGAAAAAAGGAAAGAAUGGUUUGCCAACCACACAGUCCAUAAUUCUUCAGCCACAGAAAGAAAGAGAAAUGCAGACCACCGGCUGAUGGACUCACUCACACCCUCGGUGACUGACAGAAGUACCCAGAGACCCGGAGAUUAAAAAGUGUUUUCAGACAAGGGAGCCUGGGUGGCUCAGUCAGUUAAGCAUCGGACUCUUGACCUCGGCUCAGGUCAUGAUCUCAUAGUUCGUGAGUUCGAGCCCUGCGUCCGGCUCUGUGUUGACAGUGCAGAUCCUGCUUGGGAUUCUCUCUCUCCUUCUCUCUGCCCACUCCCCCCGCCGCCCUCCAGAUAAAUGAGCAAACUUCAAAAAAUAUAUCUUUUCAGACAUUCCCAGACACCAGACACACAGACCUGGACCCCUCCCCUAGAGUCACAGACCUGCACCCCCGGCCUAAGAAGGAAAGCAGAGACACAGACUCUCAAAUUACAGAAAAGCUAAACUCCGGCAAAUGCAAGGUUCAGCCGACUCACGUUCAGGCACACACAGACCUGCAGACCGGGAGAGACUCAACUGCACGCAGACCACGCACACAGGUCGCGUCCCCGAAGCCCGCCUCACCAUCCAUGACCCUCAUUCAUGCGGCCCCUGCUCCUGAUCCGGGGAGCCCAGCCAGAAGUGUGGCAGACCCAGGCUCUGCCCUCAGGGGCUCACAGGCCCAUGCGGGAGUCACAUCCACCCACAGACAGUGAGGACCCAGGCCCAGGAUGGGGGACCCUGGAGGGCCGUGGGAACACAAAGGGGAUACCUGAUCCAGC